rnacentral:lncRNA from 1 species
CCAGUCUCGAAAUCUCAGCUGCCCAGUUCCCCUCUGUGUGGUCAAUGACUCAGCCGGAGGCAGCGAUGGCACUGCAUGCUGGGCAGGGAGCAGAGAAGGACCCCAGAACAUCAGCUGUGAGGAGACAGGCAGCCUAAACUGAGCCCCCAAAAAGGGUGACCGCAAGAUGGGCAGGCCAUGGAUGGUGUCCUGGAGGAUGCUGCUCUUAGCAGGUGAGAGACCAGCACCCUACAAGGGGGAGGACUUACUUCGGGGGAGUAGGGUGUGGUAUAGGCUGACUUUAUUUGCAUUUCUCGGACUAAUGUGGGGCUGGGAGCUUAACUCUCCCUCAGAUUUCAUACUUUUCCAAAAGUUGUCGAGAUGGAGCUCUCCAGAAUUCCAGCUAGAGGAAGCUGUUAUUUUGAGAGAAAAUGCGUUUUAAAACAUGCAAUUAUGUGCAUAUUUUAAAAUGGAGGGUCGCCUUGCUGCUGCCCUAACAUUUCCACAGGUGUUGCUGGCAGGGAAUCUGAAUGAAGAGAGCUGGAGUCACAAGCAGUGGAGAGGGAGAAGGACUUUGAAGGUGUCCCACACCUUCCAGCGAAGGAGCUGUGAGGAAAGAUAGAGGGGAAGUACUAGGGAGGCAGGCUGGGGUUCUUACAGAGACAGAGAGCUCAGAUCUCAAUGAAGCAUCAAAGAAACCAUAUCAGUGCUUGGAUUGUGGAAAGAGCUCCAUUAGCAAGGCACAUCAUCCCACCUCACAGGAAAGAAAUGUCACAGGUUUGAAACCAUCUGAAUGCUUAGAAUGUGGAACGAGCUUCAGUCACAAGGCUAGUCCUACUUCACAUUUUAAAAAAUCCACGCAGGAGAGAAACCAUAGGAAGCAAGUCUAGAGUGAGAUACUAGGAUGGUGUCCACAGUUUCCAGAAACUCUACUUGUUGUGGGUGAGCUGAGAGUUUGCUUCAGUCCUUUUUUUUCUGGGGGGACGCAGGGGGAAGCAUAGAGCUCAAGGUGGCUUCUGUAGUUCCCCUGUUGCUCAUUCAAGCCCCACCACAACCCUGUGAGGUAGAGGUUAGGUUGAGAGGUAGCAACUCUCACAAAGUCACCCAGUGAGCUGCAUGGCCGAGUGGGGAAUCGAACCCUGGUCUCCCAGGUCCUAGGCUGACACUUUAACCACUGCACUACCACUGGCCAAUUUUUCUACCCGCCCCCAUCCCUAGUUUAUGGGCAGCAGUCAGCCUGGUUUAGUGUGCAACAGGAACCUUUUCUGAUCUUGCUAUUUUGAGUCAGAGAAAGUAUUGACUCAUCAUGGUGACCCAACUCAUUGGCUCUGUAGCAUCCCUAAUUCACACUCUCCCAGGAGCAAGAGGAUGGGUGAAUAUGAUGCAAAGAUGAUAUCACCACCACUCCAACACUAAAACUCUGUACAGAAGGAUGGGGUAUGUUACAGUGAAGGAGAAUUUAAGCUAACUUGUACAAACUGGUCUGAAACUCUUUGGCAACUCCAUCGUCUUGGCCUAGAACCAUUUCCCCCCUUUUAUUUCUUUUUCUUCUCCAUCCUGCAGCCUCCAUCCCACGUUCUUCCUUCCUGCUGAUUCCAGGCCAGGGCAAGACAAAAACACACAUCACAGUUGAACCAGAAACCCUGCGGGAAGGACAGAGUGUCACCUUAACACCAGGACAUGUUGAUCUGUUUAGCUGCCACUGGUACCGAGGGGCAGCUGAAGAGAAAAAUAAGAUCUUUGUUUAUUCACUAAGUCCAUUUGCUGAACAGAAAAAUGGACCUGCCUUCAGUGGGAGGGAGUCUGGGGCCACAGACUGCUCCCUUCGCAUCACAGAUUUAAGGCUGAGCGACUCUGGAACUUAUACAUUAAGAAUGGGAGGAUUUCUACGAAAUGAAAUGGGAGCUACCAGUAUAACCAUCUCAGGUAUUCCCCCCCCUUCUCACCUUUUAGAGAUGCCUUCAGAUGUCCCCUCUCUUUUAUCUGUCCAGAGUUGUUACAUUCCUGCAUUGCAGGGGGUUAGACUAGAUGUCCCUUGAACCCCUUCCAACUCUACGAUUCUAUGAUCUGCUGAGUUUUGCAUCUGCCAAGGACCAAGUAAACUUGCCUCCAGAACAACACCUUCUGUGGAGAAGCCCAAUCAUAAUAAUAAUAUUAUUAUUUUAUUAUUUAUAUCCCACCCAUCUGGCUGAGUUCAGUAAUUAUAAGUGAACCGCGAAGGCUUAGAUUUGUUUGUUUAUUUAUUUUUAAGGCUCUGCUAAUGGGACACGGCUCCUUUCCUGGAGCAGCUUAGCAGAACAAAGUUUAUGUUUCCCGAAUGUGCCCUAACCCCAAGCAAAAUGCACAUAAAUCUCUUCCAACACGCCAGGAAGAACCCCAAAAGCUCCCUAACCUUUACAACUGAUCGAUUCCUGCAUUAGCUUAUAGUGGGUCAAAAUUAUGAGUCGAAAAUAACAGGGUGCUACUUGAUCCCUUUAAGAUCAAUGGCAAUGUGCUGCAUACCCCUCAAUCGUCCCGGUAAAACUGGGACAUCCUGAUUUCCCCCCCACCAGAGAACGGCUGCCUUUUUGAAUGCUGUGAUCGUGCAUGAUUUCGCAUUGCAAACUCGCCCUGAAAAAGCACUUUUUCAGGGCUGUGAUCAUGUAACUCGUGCGGAAGUACAGCCCUGGAAGGCAGCUAUACAGUGGUACCUCGGGUUAAGAACUUAAUUCGUUCUGGAGGUCCGUUCUUAACCUGAAACUGUUCUUAACUUGAAGCACCACUUUAGCAAAUGGGGCCCCCGCUGCCACUGUGCCACCGCUGUACGAUUUCUGUUCUCAUCCUGAAGCAAAGUUCUUAACCUGAGAUAAUAUUUCUGGGUUAGCGGAGUCUGUAACCUGAAGCAUAUGUAACCUGAAGGGUAUGUAACCCGAGGUACCACUGUACUGAGUAGCAGCCUCAAAGUGGCCUUCUCUAGUAGCUACAAUUGCAGAGACCUUAACCCAGCAGCUCUCAACCUGUGGGUCUCCAGAUGUUGUUGGACUACAACUCCCAUCAUCCCAGAGCUCUGGCCUUGCUAGCUAGGGGUGAUGGGAGUUGUAGUUCAACAACAUCUGUGGAUGUUGAGAAAGGCUGCCUUAAGCAGGUUCAGUGACCAUGAGGACCCACAAAUGAUGACUGUCUUUCUGUUUCAUCUGCAGAAAUCCUCUCCCACCCAGUUCUGCAGCCGACAGAAUCCCUAGUGGCAGAGAACACAACUGUCACCUUACACUGCAACACCUCUGACCGCCUUGAUGUCUCCAUCCUUUGGUUCAAGGAUGGUAAUCCUGUCCCAUCUAAGACUGGGCUUUCUGACCAGAACCGAACCCUCAGGCUAACUGGCAUCACCAAAGAGGACGAAGGGAUCUAUAUGUGUCAGGCAGUCAACCCUGUCAGUACUGCUAUAAGCAACCCCAGUAAGAUAACUAUGGCAUGUGAGUAAUCCACUAAUAAACAAGGAAUACCUUUCCUCCUGACUCUGCUCUCCAUGCUAGGGUUAAGAACUUUUCUUCAGGAUGAAAACAGAAAUCGUGCGGCAGCAGCGGGAGGCUCCAUUAGCUAAAGUGGUACCUUAGGUUAUGAACAGUUUCAGGUUAAGAACAGACCUCCAGAACGAAUUAAGUUCUUAACCAGAGGUACCACUGUAUCUGACUUUUAGAAGACACCUGAAGGCAUCCCGUUUAGGGAAGUUUUUAAUGUUUAUUGCAUUAUUAUUAUUAUUAUUAUUAUUAUUAUUAUUAUUAUUGGCUCCUCCUCACCCUGUCUUGUCCACUAUCCCUCAAGCACCCUGUUUCUAGCACUUCCCAGCUCCUCUAAGGUGUGGCCAGAAUCCCACCUCCCGUCCCCAUUCUCAAAAUCCUCUUCCUCUGCACCUUCCUUGAGCAGCUCUUGGUUGGGCAGAUUCUACCCCUCUUCCUCAUGCAGCCAGUCCCUGACAUGGUGGCGCUUAAGUUAUGCUGACAGACUCACCAUCUGAAGAGGCUCAGAGCUGCACCCCGGUAAAACCCAGUUUACCCAACAGAGUAAGCUCUGCUCCUAACUGUAUGGUGGACAGUUUUGCUGCUGUUUUUUGCUGGUCCAGAAACGCUCACUGGGGGGAGGUGUAUACAGGAUAAUGCCCCCCCCAUAUUUCCAGCCCCUUGCUUCUACCAGUGGGUCUAUAGAGGCUAGAUUACAGGCAGUCCUUAAUUAUGACAUCGCUCAGUCUCUUAAAUAUAUGCCUUGCUCUUCAGAUUCUUCUGCUUUCAGUUCUGCUGAAGCCCUCGCUGGGACUGUUAUCGGGUCUCUGGCUGCAAUACUGGUGUUGAUGGGAAUCCUGACUUACCUCUUUCUCCGUGAGUAAAACCAGAGCAGAUCCCAGACUUCAGGAGACCCUUGUCAGGGCCAGGGCUGAAGUAGCUGCCAUGGGCAGCAGAAGCCCAGUAAGCAAGGGUUUGGGGGGUGGGGGGCAGGGCCAGGGCCAGCAGCUGUUGCAGAGUAGCAAUAUUGCACAGCUAGGUAGCUAAACAUGUGUAAGACUGACUCCAGACUUCUUCUCCCUCUUUCAGGUGCCCGUCAUCGGAAUGGCAGAACGUCUUCUCCGGUUGUACCCACCCCUCAGGUAUAUGAGAAUGAUCCACCAUCCGGAGAAACAAAACCUCAAGUGAGUGAAUCAGGGGGCCUCUAGAUGGGUGUUUGUCGUGAGAUGGAUAUUGUGGAAUGUGAUCCAUGAGAGGCAGUCAAAUACAACAUUCCUUGUAAUGCUAGAGAAUACAUGUGAGGGAAUGUUUGGUCCAGCCAGUCGAAACUUCCUGUUCCUCCUGGCUGGAGCAUCCUUCCUUUGGCAUGUGAUAGAAGGUGGGUGUGACCUAACCUGUCCAGGUAAUAAAAGGACAAGUCCCGCAGCACACCUCUCUCUUUUUGAUCCGCUUUUAGCUAGGACUGCUCUGCCAGCUCUCAGCUAGCAGAAGCACUGGGAUUAUUUCCCCCAUAUGGGGUAGAUCCACAUGAACAUAUUUGUAACUAUGUCUGCCUUCAGGAAUAAAACUGUGAACUGAUGUGAGUAAACUUCUUUUAUCGACUUUGAAUAAGAUUGUGGCAUCUUUAUUCUUUUAAGAGGGAUUCAAGGAAACGUAUCAGGAACAUGCAAUUCAAUCUGAGACAGAUUGAAUUGUAUAAUAGUGAGAGGCUUACACGAGCCUGCAACCAGCUAUCUGCUGUGCAUGUAAAAAGGGGGGGGGUGUAAUUCUGCUACAUAAAGGAACUUGCUAGCGCAAGUUAGGAAGGAUAUUAGUAAACAAUAUAUCCUCUCCUGCCACCCUGAACAUUCCCACAGAUAUUACUCAUACAGGCAGAUUUUUCAUUGAGUUCACAGCCUUCCUUUGGCAUCAAGAUGCCAGCCCAUAUUUUCCCCUAUGUGGUAUUGAUUUACCCUUUUCCUGGGGAAUGUUGGCCACAAUCCAUUCGCAAGAACUCAAAGAUUUGGCAGUUGUCUGUGCUAGUAUAAGCUUCAGCAUAUUUUUGUGUUUGAUCCAGGUUAAGCCUGAAAGCUCCUCCAAAGCCAAUAACACAUAUGAGGUGAGUAGAAGGUCCCUUGCCCUUUGAAAUGUUUGGAAAAUUUCAACUAGGCUCAAAAUAUCCAUUAUCGACCAAAUAACAGCCCAUUACUGAAAGAGCUGCAUUGGCUUCCAGUUUGAUUUCAAGCACAAGUCAAAUUGCUAGCCUUAAGCUUCUCUCAUACUGUUUAGGCCUUAGAGUUCACCUUCUCCCACAGGUAGAUCCCCAACCAUUUGGACCAUCUUCUGAAGCCCUUUUCCAGAUUCCUGCCACCUUCAGUAGUAAUGUGGGUGGCAACCACAAACAGAGCCUUUUCUGAGUGGCACCCCAAGUCUGGAAGUCAUCCAGAAGGGAAGUUUGCCUAGCACCAGCCCUGCUGUCAUUUGGCUACUCAGUGCAAAUGGGCAAAUCUCCUAUAAUAGAAAUGGGUAUCUCGGGAAGUAUAAGCUUUUCCCUCCACGCACCAAAGGAAAGAGCAGCAGAUAUUGCCACCGAAAUUGCUCUUUUACAGCGGCAAUCCCUGUAUUGUAAUUUAUCCGAAUUCCCAUGUGAAGGGCACCGAGGUUCCCAACUGAUAUAAAUUAUCCAGACAAAAGGCACUUGCAUUGAUUUGCUUCUCUUCUUAAAAGAUGUUCUGCUUCCAAGAAUAUAAAUAAUGUCACCAGCCUUAGUCUCAUGCUACCCAGGAAAACAAUUCAAAACCAAAAUGGUUCUGACUUUCUUGUUUCCGCCUGACUCAUCUCCAUUUUCUCUUUAGACCUUGCAGCCCAGAAGCCCUUCUGUCUACGAAGAGAUGAAGAGAUAAGACAUGGACCCAGCAACUUCCUCUCCGCUGCUGAGGCCUCUCCUGGGCCCUCAAGCCUCUUUCCCGUUCAGAUCUGUUCCUUUCAGCUGCAGCUGAGUAACAUUUUCUCUGCAGGGCCAGGUGUCAGGAGUGUGGGCAGGAGCCAGGCCCUGUGACCAGUAGGACUUUGCAGGACUGGGGCCUUCCUAAGCUUGUUCUGAAGAGGCAAGGCGUGGCUCCACAGAUGAGGCCGAUUGGUAACCUGGUGGCAAGAGCCGGGAAGGGAUAUAAGGUCAGCAUUUCCCUUCGGCUCUUUGCCACAGCAACACGUUCGCUGCCUUGCUACGUUUGGCUCCUUGGCUCCUUGCUUCCUGACCCUCGGACCCUUGGCUUCUUGACUCCUGGCUCUCUGACCCUCGGACUCUGGGCUUCCUGGCUUCUGGACUCCCGUUCCUGCUCCCACCCUGCCAUCUUUCCCCCGGUCCUGACGUCCUCAGCAGGGACUUCGAUCGCCCCUGAACUGGACCAUGACACCAGGUCCUUCUGGAAAUCCUAGUCCUUGUUCUGAAGAAAAGAGCCAACCUUGGUCCCCACGGGACUCUCACGUUGGGAAAGACUUGCAGAUACUGAGACAGAGACACAAAGGAAGUUCUCCCUGGAAAGGCCAAACAGAAUCUCGUGAGACUAAAUGAUUAAUGCUGAACAGGCAAGGAAUCGCCAUGAAAAUCCAUCAACCUUUUUGUGUAUGCCUCUCCUAAUAAACACAUUUUUG